rnacentral:rRNA from 1 species
CACGUGGGGGACGAGCGUUGUCCGGAUUCAUUGGGCGUAAAGCGCGCGUAGGCGGCUCGGAAAGUCGGUCGUGAAAUCCCGGGGCUCAACCUCGGAACUGCCUUUGAUACUGCAAAUCUCGAGUCCGGAAGAGGUGAGUGGAAUUCCUAGUGUAGAGGUGAAAUUCGUAGAUAUUAGGAAGAACACCAGUGGCGAAGGCGGCUCACUGGUCCGGUACUGACGCUGAGGUGCGAAAGCGUGGGGAGCAAACAGG